AUGGAUCCCCUUCCCAUACACACAAUGAUCUGCCUUGUAUGUUGGUCAUUUUGGUUAUUCCCGUUCUGUGCAUCAUCCGGCAGCCGCCUUCUUCCCGACAAGCCGCUUUCUGCUGGAAGCACCAUCACCUCCGAUGACGGCACUUUUGCCCUGGGGUUCUUCUCCCCUGCUAUGCCGAUCGCCGAUCCUUCUUCUGCAACACUCGCCUUAACAAAAGAAUUCAAUCUCGCCUUGUCAGACACCAACGGCCAGCUUCUCUGGACGACAAACAUCAGUGCUACAGGAAAUUCAUCGUCAGAGGCAACUGGUGGAGAAGCCAUGCUUGAUAACAAUGGGAAUUUUAUCCUUCGGUCAUCAAAAGGCAUCAUCUUAUGGCAAAGCUUCCAGGUAUGA
rnacentral:rRNA from 1 species